GAUGAACGCUAGCUACAGGCUUAACACAUGCAAGUCGCGGGGCAGCAUGAAGUCAGCUUGCUGACUUUGAUGGCGACCGGCGCACGGGUGAGUAACGCGUAUCCAACCUGCCUGUUACCACGGCACAGCCCGUCGAAAGGCGGAUUAAUGCCGUAUGUGGUCCUUUGCGGGCAUCUAAUUAGGACUAAAGGUUCGGCGGUAACAGAUGGGGAUGCGUCCGAUUAGCUAGACGGCGGGGUAACGGCCCACCGUGGCUACGAUCGGUAGGGGUUCUGAGAGGAAGGUCCCCCACACUGGAACUGAGACACGGUCCAGACUCCUACGGGAGGCAGCAGCGAGGAAUAUUGGUCAAUGGGCGUAAGCCUGAACCAGCCAAGUAGCGUGAGGGAAGACUGCCCUAUGGGUUGUAAACCUCUUUUGUGCGGGGAUAAAGUGAGGGACGUGUCCCUUAUUGCAGGUACCGCACGAAUAAGGACCGGCUAAUUCCGUGCCAGCAGCCGCGGUAAUACGGAAGGUCCGGGCGUUAUCCGGAUUUAUUGGGUUUAAAGGGAGCGCAGGCCGUCCUUUAAGCGUGCUGUGAAAUGCCGCGGCUCAACCGUGGCACUGCAGCGCGAACUGGAGGACUUGAGUACGCACGAGGUAGGCGGAAUUCGUGGUGUAGCGGUGAAAUGCUUAGAUAUCACGAAGAACUCCGAUUGCGAAGGCAGCUUACCGGAGCGCAACUGACGCUGAGGCUCGAAAGCGCGGGUAUCGAACAGGAUUAGAUACCCUGGUAGUCCGCGCGGUAAACGAUG
rnacentral:rRNA from 1 species